UCUUGAUCAUGAGUGUUGUAACGGAACGUUACUUAAUGGAAAUAUUUUUAUUAAAAUCAUUAAUAAUUUAAUCGUUAUAAAAUGCUACUUUUCUAUCUGGAAACAUCGCCAACGCCGCAUAUUAGUUCCACGAGUAGCCACUGCCGCAAGUACCAAGUACUGUCAAAAUUUUUAAAAGUUUACUGUUAGCUAAAUCGUCAAAGAAGAAAGACUUAAUUUCCAAGUGGUCGACAGCUGUUUGAAAACAAAAAAAAAAAAGAAAUCUGAUUUUAGUUAUUAUUUUAAUGGAAAAUAUGUGAAAUUAGUUGAAGGAGGAAAAAGUGUUGUUUUAGUUAUUUGUUUCAAGAAGAAAAGUAUAUUAAUUUGGUAGAAUUUGGACUAUCGCUGUCGGCCACUUGGAAUCACUUACAUAUUUUCACCCCAAGAACAUCAGGGGAUGAAGGAUAAAUCAGGGGAUCUAGCAGCAGUCACUGGGUAUUACAGGAUGGAAUCAUCUUUUUGAGUUUGGUUUUCAAUCAUUAGUUAUCAUUUUUUUUGGACAUUGGGAAAGGACAUUACGUUAAUUGGUGUUGGACAGUGGACAGUGGUUUAAGUAUUUUUUUUUUAUUAUUAUUAUCCAGAACAUUAAUUUUUCUCCUAAUUGGGACAUUAAAUAUUUAUUAAAAAUAGCAUAUUAAAUAAGUUUACAUUAUACUCCACUUGUUAUAUUUACAUAUUUUUUUCAUACCAAAAA
rnacentral:lncRNA from 1 species